UUAUCGUAGCGUAAUUGGUUGUGUUGUGAAGUUUUUACGAAAAAACAUUUUUAUCACGCGGUUGAGAUUUCCAUCGGUUGCCAUUUCGUUGGACGAGUUACCAUAAACCCCGGGCUCCUGCAAGGAUGUAUUUUGGUAAGAGUUUGACUCGAGUUCCUGCUCUAACGGUAAAGCUUCACGCAUGAUUAAACAGCUCUUUAGCAACAGGUCACAACUAGCUGGAGGAACCAGAAUUCGAGAAACUGUGCAGACACGGGCGGAUUUGCGAACCUUGCAGUUGCAGGCUGAUAUUUCUAGGUAUCCAAGUUAUCGGCAAGAUAGAUUUAGCCUUCUGUUCAUUAUUUUUCUAAAUUUUCCAUGCUGCUCUUUCCAUUAAAAUCUUGAUCUGUUUGCAAGUUAGAUUCCUUUGUUGUUCUUUCGUAAAUCUACAGUUUGUGUAUUUGUUUUA